AGCAGCUCAAGCUGCAGCUAAAGUGGUUCGAUUGGCUGGCUAUGGACGCCACUCUAAGGAAGAAAGAGCUGCGACCCUCAUACAGUCGUAUUACAGAGGCUACCUGGUAAAAACUUAAACCUCCCUCAUCAUCUUUAAUUAUCUCUCUCACACGCAUUUGCACACGCUUUACAAACUCGCCAGCAAAGAUUUGGAAGGAUCACAGAUCAGACGAGCCACGUUAAAUGCAAUGUAAUUUUUUAUGGUUGUUAGCUUCAUGAUAAUUAAAAGAAGUUGUAAGGCACAACUGCGUAGUUCCUGUAAUUGUAAUCUUAUUAGCUAUGCACUAUGCAGUUAGUAAAAUCACGAAGGCAUAUAACCAAGUGUACCAAUAGUGAUGCAGAAACAAAGUACUAGCUGGCAUAUAAGUAAUUAGCAUAGUACUUGUGGACCUGCACUUUAUUGUUUAUACCUUGCAAGUUGUAAGGUUCUAUGACAUCAUAUUUUCGGGCGCCAUGAAUGUCUUUUAUUAGUAGAUUUAUAUUUCUACCUUUUUUGAACCCUUAGUUAUGUAAAAUUAUACUGGUGAAUAUCUAGUCCUUGGGCAGCCACAAAAUUUGAUGCUUAAUUAAAGGAAUAAGGUGUUAUUUAAAAUAUCUUGGAAUAAGAUGUUCUUCAUCUUUUUGGCACUCUAAUUAAGUUCCAGGGAGGAAAGGGGAAAUUCUUCUCUUAGGUUCUUUAGAAUGUUGCGGAUGGUUUAGUUUCAAUUUUGCGUUUGAUUUUGUAGGCACGGAGAGCUUUGCGUGCUUUGAAGGGACUGGUGAGGUUACAGGCACUAGUGAGAGGCUAUAAUGUGCGCAAACAAGCACAAAUGACAAUGCGGUGCAUGCAAGCAUUAGUACGGGUGCAGGCAAGAGUUCGAGCUCGUAGGCUGCGGCUAACUCAUGAGAAUCUUCAGAAGACAGUGGACGAAGACGAGGAAGAAAUACGAGGAAUGGAAGAGCUGGAACGAAAGCCAAAGAGCCCGUUGAGGAAAUACGACGGUUGGGAUGGUGGGCAUCAAAGUUCGGAGAAAGUCAAGGAAAGUGCUUCAAAGAAACAUGACGCUGUGAUGAGAAGAGAAAGAGCCCUUGCUUAUGCCUAUAGCUAUCAGGUUGGUUAAUUGUUAAUCAUAAGCACUUGAAAAUCACUUCGUUUAGUGAAAAAUCAGAAAUUGUUUGUUUUUGCUUCCCCUGAAACGGUGAUUACAUUGUCAUAAUUCACUUCUUGCAGCAGCAACAGCAACAUCAGCAACAGCCGCAGCAGCAUCAACAACUCCUCAUGCAGCCACACCCCAAUGGCAAGGAUGUUGACCUCUACCUUAACGAGCGAGAGAAGGCGCAAUGGGGUUGGAAUUGGCUCGAGCGUUGGAUGUCAUCGCAACCAUAC
rnacentral:lncRNA from 1 species